rfam:Rhizopogon vinicolor AM-OR11-026 unplaced genomic scaffold K503scaffold_627, whole genome shotgun sequence.
GGCUGGAUGGUCUAGUGGUUAAGACAUCCCCCCAGAGUUGGGAACACCUAGGUUCGAGUCCUAGUCCUGCCA